rnacentral:rRNA from 1 species
UACGUAGGGUGCGAGCGUUGUCCGGAAUUAUUGGGCGUAAAGAGCUCGUAGGCGGUCUGUCGCGUCGAUCGUGAAAACUUGGGGCUUAACCCUGAGCCUGCUUCCGAUACGGGCAGACUAGAGGUAUGCAGGGGAGAACGGAAUUCCUGGUGUAGCGGUGAAAUGCGCAGAUAUCAGGAGGAACACCGGUGGCGAAGGCGGUUCUCUGGGCCUGUACUGACGCUGAGGAACGAAAGCGUGGGGAGCGAACAGG